rnacentral:rRNA from 1 species
UACGAAGGGGGCUAGCGUUGCUCGGAAUCACUGGGCGUAAAGCGCACGUAGGCGGAUUGUUAAGUCAGGGGUGAAAUCCUGGAGCUCAACUCCAGAACUGCCUUUGAUACUGGCGAUCUCGAGUCCGGGAGAGGUGAGUGGAACUGCGAGUGUAGAGGUGAAAUUCGUAGAUAUUCGCAAGAACACCAGUGGCGAAGGCGGCUCACUGGCCCAGUACUGACGCUGAGGUGCGAAAGCGUGGGGAGCGAACGGG